GACGAACCGAGCGAACGUUGUUCGGAAUAACUGGGCUUAAAGGGCGCGUAGGCGGGCCGCCAAGUUCGAGGUGAAAUCCUCCGGCUCAACCGGAGAACUGCCUCGAAUACUGGAGGCCUCGAGGCGGGUAGGGGCAUGCGGAACUGUGGGUGGAGCGGUGAAAUGCGUAGAUAUCUGGAGGAACACCGGUGGCGAAGGCGACAUCCUGGACCGGUAUUGACGCUGAGGCGCGAAAGCCAGGGGAGCAAACGGG
rnacentral:rRNA from 1 species